UACGAAGGGUGCAAGCGUUACUCGGAAUUACUGGGCGUAAAGCGUGCGUAGGUGGUUUGUUAAGUCUGCUGUGAAAGCCCCGGGCUCAACCUGGGAAUGGCAGUGGAUACUGGCAAGCUAGAGUGCGGUAGAGGGGUGUGGAAUUCCCGGUGUAGCGGUGAAAUGCGUAGAGAUCGGGAGGAACACCAGUGGCGAAGGCGGCACCCUGGACCAGCACUGACACUGAGGCACGAAAGCGUGGGGAGCGAUCCGG
rnacentral:rRNA from 1 species